GAUGAACGCUGGCGGCGUGCCUAAUACAUGCCAGUCGAGCGAACAGACGAGGAGCUUGCUCCUCUGACGUUAGCGGCGGACGGGUGAGUAACACGUGGAUAACCUACCUAUAAGACUGGGAUAACUUCGGGAAACCGGAGCUAAUACCGGAUAAUAUAUUGAACCGCAUGGUUCAAUAGUGAAAGACGGUUUUGCUGUCACUUAUAGAUGGAUCCGCGCCGCAUUAGCUAGUUGGUAAGGUAACGGCUUACCAAGGCGACGAUGCGUAGCCGACCUGAGAGGGUGAUCGGCCACACUGGAACUGAGACACGGUCCAGACUCCUACGGGAGGCAGCAGUAGGGAAUCUUCCGCAAUCGGCGAAAGCCUGACGGAGCAACGCCGCGUGAGUGAUGAAGGUCUUCGGAUCGUAAAACUCUGUUAUUAGGGAAGAACAAAUGUGUAAGUAACUAUGCACGUCUUGACGGUACCUAAUCAGAAAGCCACGGCUAACUACGUG
rnacentral:rRNA from 1 species